UACGGGGGGGGCAAGCGUUGUUCGGAAUUACUGGGCGUAAAGGGCGCGUAGGCGGCCUGCUAAGUCGGACGUGAAAGUCCCUCGGCUCAACCGGGGAACUGCGUCCGAUACUGGCGAGGCUUGAAUCCGGGAGAGGGAUGUGGAAUUCCAGGUGUAGCGGUGAAAUGCGUAGAUAUUGGGAGGAACACCAGUGGCGAAGGCGGCUCGCUGGACCGGUUCUGACGCUGAGGCGCGAAAGCGUGGGGAGCAAACGGG
rnacentral:rRNA from 1 species